rnacentral:tRNA from 1 species
GCCGGUGUAGCACAAUUGGUAGUGCGCCUGACUUGUAAUCAGGAGGUUGUAGGUUCAAGUCCUAUCGUCGGCA